rnacentral:rRNA from 1 species
UACAGAGGGGGCAAGCGUUGUUCGGAAUUAUUGGGCGUAAAGGGCUCGUAGGCGGUUUGUCGCGUCUGCCGUGAAAGUCCGGGGCUCAACUCCGGAUCUGCGGUGGGUACGGGCAGACUAGAGUGAUGUAGGGGAGACUGGAAUUCCUGGUGUAGCGGUGAAAUGCGCAGAUAUCAGGAGGAACACCGAUGGCGAAGGCAGGUCUCUGGGCAUUAACUGACGCUGAGGAGCGAAAGCAUGGGGAGCGAACAGG